UACAGGGGGUGCAAACGUUGCUCGGAAUCACUGGGCGUAAAGCGCACGUAGGCGGCUUUUUAAGUCAGAGGUGAAAUCCUGGAGCUCAACUCCAGAACUGCCUUUGAUACUGGAGAGCUUGAGUCCGGGAGAGGUGAGUGGAACUGCGAGUGUAGAGGUGAAAUCCGUAGAUAUUCGCAAGAACACCAGUGGCGAAGGCGGCUCACUGGCCCGGUACUGACGCUGAGGUGCGAAAGCGUGGGGAGCAAACAGG
rnacentral:rRNA from 1 species